GACGAACGCUGGCGGCGUGCUUAACACAUGCAAGUCGAACGAAGAGCGAUGGAAGCUUGCUUCUAUCAAUCUUAGUGGCGAACGGGUGAGUAACGCGUAAUCAACCUGCCCUUCAGAGGGGGACAACAGUUGGAAACGACUGCUAAUACCGCAUACGAUCUAAUCUCGGCAUCGAGGAUAGAUGAAAGGUGGCCUCUACAUGUAAGCUAUCACUGAAGGAGGGGAUUGCGUCUGAUUAGCUAGUUGGAGGGGUAACGGCCCACCAAGGCGAUGAUCAGUAGCCGGUCUGAGAGGAUGAACGGCCACAUUGGGUCUGAGACACGGCCCAGACUCCUACGGGAGGCAGCAGUGGGGAAUCUUCCGCAAUGGACGAAAGUCUGACGGAGCAACGCCGCGUGAGUGAUGACGGCCUUCGGGUUGUAAAGCUCUGUUAAUCGGGACGAAAGGCCUUCUUGCGAAUAGUGAGAAGGAUUGACGGUACCGGAAUAGAAAGCCACGGCUAACUACGUG
rnacentral:rRNA from 1 species